UACGUAGGGUGCGAGCGUUAAUCGGAAUUACUGGGCGUAAAGCGUGCGCAGGCGGUUCGUUGUGUCGGCGGUGAAAGCCCCGGGCUCAACCUGGGAAUGGCCGUUGAAACUGGCGAACUGGAGUGUGGCAGAGGGGGGUGGAAUUCCGCGUGUAGCAGUGAAAUGCGUAGAUAUGAUGGAGGAACACCGAUGCGAAGGCGGCUCACUGGCCCGGUACUGACGCUGAGGUGGCGAAACGUGGGGGAGCAAACAGG
rnacentral:rRNA from 1 species